rnacentral:rRNA from 1 species
GAUGAACGCUGGCGGCGUGCUUAAUACAUGCAAGUCGAACGAGGAGCUUUUGUCUUCGGAUGGAGGUUUCCUAGUGGCGAACGGGUGAGUAACGCGUUGGUGACCUGCCCCAAAGUGUGGGAUAACAGUUCGAAAGGACUGCUAAUACCUCAUGUGAUCAGCGGGAUUAGAUGCCUGCUGAUUAAAGGCGUAAGCCGCUUUGGGAGGGGCCUGCGUCCCAUCAGCUAGUUGGUAGGGUAAUGGCCUACCAAGGCUAUGACGGGUAGGGGACCUGAGAGGGUGGCCCCCCACACUGGCACUGAAAUACGGGCCAGACACCUACGGGUGGCAGCAGUAGGGAAUAUUGGACAAUGGGCGAAAGCCUGAUCCAGCAACGCCGCGUGCGCGAUGACGGCCUUCGGGUUGUAAAGCGCUUUUAGAGGAGAUGAGAAAGGACAGUAUCCUCAGAAUAAGCCUCGGCGAACUACGUGCCAGCCGCCGCGGUAACAC